UACGUAGGGUGCGAGCGUUAAUCGGAAUUACUGGGCGUAAAGUGUGCGCAGGCGGCGCCGCAAGUCGAGUGUGAAAGCCCCGGGCUUAACCUAGGAAUGGCGCUUGAGACUGGAUAGCUUGGAGUGUGGCAGAGGGAGGUGGAAUUCCACGUGUAGCAGUGAAAUGCGUAGAGAUGUGGAGGAACACCGAUGGCGAAGGCAGCCUCCUAGGCCAGCACUGACGCUCAUGCACGAAAGCGUGGGGAGCAAACAGG
rnacentral:rRNA from 1 species